GGGAGGUAGUGACAAUAAAUAACAAUACGGGGUUCUUUCGGAUCUCGUAAUUGGAAUGAGUACAAUUUAAAUCUCUUAACGAGGAACGAUUGGAGGGCAAGUCUGGUGCCAGCAGCCGCGGUAAUUCCAGCUCCAAUAGCGUAUAUUAAAGUUGUUGCAGUUAAAAAGCUCGUAGUUGAAUUUCGGGAUUAGUACGCUGGUCGUGCCUUCGGUACGUACUGGUGUUACUGAUUUCUACCUUCUGACGAACCAUCAUGUCAUUAAUUUGGUGUGGUGGGGAAUCAGGACUGUUACUUUGAAAAAUUAGAGUGUUUAAAGCAGGCUAACGCUUGAAUACAUUAGCAUGGAAUAAUGAAAUAGGACGUUUGAUCCUAUUUUGUUGGUUUCUAGGAUUGACGUAAUGAUUAAUAGGGAUAGUUGGG
rnacentral:rRNA from 1 species